rnacentral:sRNA from 1 species
CCUAAUGGUCCGGAGUCGGUGGGUUACCCAAAAUUUGAAACCCUCCCAUCGGCACUUCCUUGACCGUUAG